rnacentral:rRNA from 1 species
AUUGAACGCUGGCGGCAGGCCUAACACAUGCAAGUCGAGCGAGCGGCGGACGGGUGAGUAAUGCCUGGGAAUUGCCCAGUAGAGGGGGAUCACAGUUGGAAACGACUUCUAAUACCGCAUAAUCUUGGAUUGCCCAUGGGGGAGUAGCUAGUUGGUGUGUUAAUGGCUCCCCAAGGCGACGAUCCCUAGCUGGUCUGAGAGGAUGAGCAGCCACACUGGAACUGAGACACGUUCCAGACUCCUACGGGAGGCAGCAGUGGGGAAUAGUGCACAAUGGGCGAAACCCUGAUGCAGCCAUGCCGCGUGUGUGAAGAAGGCCUUCGGGUUGUAAAGCACUUUCAGCGAGGAGGCGUUACUCGCAGAAGAAGCACCGGCUAACUCCGUGCCAGCCGCCGCGGUAAUAC